rnacentral:rRNA from 2 species
GAGGGCGCUUACCACUUUGUGAUUCAUGACUGGGGUGAAGUCGUAACAAGGUAACCGUAGGGGAACCUGCGGUUGGAUCACCUCCUUACCUUAAAGAAGC